rnacentral:lncRNA from 1 species
CAUUGUCGUUCGCUUCCCAGAAGAGGAUGAUGCAUCUGGCAUCUUUCUCAAAAUUUGGCUCACGAGUGACGAUUGCCUCUGGCCUCGACAGACUAAACAUGUGCAUAGUUUGUUGAAAUCAAGAGCGACUCCAGGGGCUGCCUGGAUCCAAGUGCCUUGCACUGUUGUCCGAGCAUUCGAAACAUAUGCAGAAGCACGUGAGAAUCUGCCAAGGGUAGAGAAUGGAUCAAACUUGGAUGGUGACCACACAGCUUGGAAAAGGCAGGAG